ensembl:lncRNA
CUACUGUGCCGAUUUUCUCCAUUUGGAGAUAACGGUUCUCGCUGUGGAUCUUUGGAGUCCCCGAGGCUUUGAAAUAGCUUUGUAACCCUUCCCAGACUGAUGUAUUUCAAUCACCUUCUUCCUCAUCAUUUCUGGAAUUUCUUUCAACUUUGGCAUGGUGUGUUCUAUGUAAGUGUUGAUGUGAGUGAACAGGGUUUGCAGUAAUCAGACCUGGUUGUGUCUAGUCCAGCUGAACCCCAUUAUGAAUGUAGUUUCAUAGAUUUGGGGAAUUAGUAACUACGGGGGCAAAUAAAUUUUCACUCAGACGCAGUUGAUAUUGGAUAACUUUUUUGCUGCAAUAAAUAACAUUAUCAUUUAAAAACUGUAUUUUGUGUUUACUCGGGUUGCCUUUGAUUUGUGUUCGAUUCUGUUUUCAUUUCUGAGAGAAUUUAGUGUGAGAUAUACACAAAAACAAUAUCAUGACCCCCAGGGACAAUUCCACCUUUGGCCACUAGAUGGCACCCUGACUGUCCUUGCAGAACUUCUUCUUCUGUCGUCUCCCUCAUUUCCUGUCUAAUCAUACCCAUGUGUUUGUUAUUUUCCCUGCUUGAUUAGUCCUCUAUUUAAGUUCCCUGGUUUUCCUCCUUCGUUGUUGGUGCAUUGCAUCAAGUCAGGUUAUGGUUGUAUUUCCGAGGUUCUCGUAUUUGGCAUUGUUUAUAUUUCGUGUUUUCUAGUUUUUUUUUUUCCCUUUAAAUUUUCCUCAGUUUCUGCUUGUCCUGGUUCCCUUGUGUUUCCUAUUCCUGAGUCAAUUUCCCUGGUGUGUCGUCUGCAGUAAAGAAGUUAUCCGUCUCCUUGGACUCUCCCUCGUGAUAAACAGGAGAAAGCAGGAUGGAGCCAAUAAUUUUUCACAGCACCAUAUCCCUGAUACUUAACACACACACCAAGCAACUUGUUAGCGUGGUCUACAGCUCUUCACGGAUUGUUUAAGAACUUUGUAUAGCUUAAUUUGGCAAAUUAUGUGGAAACGGAUACUUAUUUAUCUCUGGUUCUGAUUGCAGUUUUCAGUUCAAGUCCAUUCAGGAGUCAUUUAUUUGUCGUUUGAACAGUUCCACUGAGUACACUGGGCACUGAAAUGCUAGUGACAAGGCUCAGAUUCAGAUACUGACAGUACAAACACUUAUUAGAUGUGAACAAACAUAUUUAGACGUGAAUGUUUGAGCUGUUGCUGUAGUGGAAUAAGGUCAAUGAAACGGUGAUGGACAAUAAGUAGGUGGAACAGUAAAUACAAGUACAAUAAGUAGUCCAGAGUAAAUCUGAAUAGUAAAUAUAAGUGUCCAGGAGUGGUAGUCAUGAAGUGUUGCAGUGCUGGUGGAAGGACUACUGGCUGUUACUGUAAGUACAUUUCCAUUGAUUCGUCUAGCAGAUGCUUUUAUCCAACGCGACUUACAAAUGAAGAAAUACAAGCAAAGCGAUAUAUCAAGUGGAGAAGUACUGCUACCAUACAAGAUUUAUAAUUGAGUUCUAGAGAAGCAAAGUGUGCAGAGUAGAGGUGCUCACGGAAUAGUUAGUGUGACGGUUCUGGAAAGGGACCUUGAGGCACGCUGAGUAGGCACUGCUAAGCUUCGGCCGUUAACCGAUCGUAUAUAGGGUGGGGGAACGUAAGCCUCAAAGAGAGUGUUGAGGUAGGGGGGUGCUGUUCCAGACAAGUGGUCUGAUGUUCCAGACAAGGACUUGUUCCAGACAAGUGGUCUGAUGUUCCAGACAAGUGGUCUUGGUCCAGACAUGUAGUCUGAUGUUCCAGACAAGCGUGAUUAAAUAGCCC